AUUGAACGCUGGCGGCAGGCCUAACACAUGCAAGUCGAACGAGUGGCGGACGGGUGAGUAGUGUCUGGGAACCUGCCUGAUGGAGGGGGAUAACUACUGGAAACGGUAGCUAAUACCGCAUAACAUCGUAUGUGCCCAGAUGGAAUUAGCUAGUAGGUGGGGUAAAGGCUCACCUAGGCGACGCUCCCUAGCUGGUCUGAGAGGAUGACCAGCCACACUGGAACUGAGACACGGUCCAGACUCCUACGGGAGGCAGCAGUGGGGAAUAUUGGACAAUGGGCGCAAGCCUGAUGCAGCCAUGCCGCGUGUAUGAAGAAGGUCUUCGGGUUGUAAAGUACUUUCAGUGGGGAGGCGGUACCUGAACAAGAAGCACCGGCUAACUCCGUGCCAGCAGCCGCGGUAAUUC
rnacentral:rRNA from 1 species